CAACAUUCUACCGCCCUUCCCUUCUUUACUCCACUCUAUUUGUUUAUUAGGGAUCGGGAACGGGCAAGUUGUAGUCUAAAUGGAAGAAUAGAAGAAUGAUAUUUCCGGUCCAACGAUAAGUUGAAUUUUUUUGUAUCUUUAACAGACCUUCUCAGAUAAAGUUACUGGCUUACGUUCAUCGGACUUGGCCAUGAUGGAGCACCGCUGUGAAGGGCUUCAAUAGAACAAAUCGAAAUUUUUGAGUCCGUUACUUACUCUAUCGAUCUCACUUCCCGAACUGUUAAGUUACAAGGGCGUAAACAAACC